rnacentral:rRNA from 1 species
CACAUGCAAGUCGAGCGGGGAACGGACGGUAGCUUGCUACAGUUUGUUUCUAGCGGCGGACGGGUGAGUAACGCGUGAGCAACCUGCCUUUAUCAGGGGGAUAACGCAUCGAAAGAUGUGCUAAUACCGCGUAAGACCACAGCUUCACAUGGAGCGGGGGUCAAAGGAGCAAUCCGGAUAAAGAUGGGCUCGCGUCCGAUUAGCUAGUUGGUGAGAUAACAGCCCACCAAGGCGACGAUCGGUAGCCGACCUGAGAGGGUGAUCGGCCACAUUGGAACUGAGAGACGGUCCAGACUCCUACGGGAGGCAGCAGUGGGGAAUAUUGGGCAAUGGGCGAAAGCCUGACCCAGCAACGCCGCGUGAGGGAAGAAGGGUUUCGGCUCGUAAACCUCUGUCCUAUGGGACGAAGGAAGUGACGGUACCAUAGGAGGAAGCCCCGGCUAACUACGUGCCAGCAGCCGCGGUAAUACGUAGGGGGCGAGCGUUGUCCGGAAUGAUUGGGCGUAAAGGGCGCGUAGGCGGCCUGCUAAGUCUGGAGUGAAAGUCCUGCUUUCAAGGUGGGAAUUGCUUUGGAUACUGGUGGGCUGGAGUGCAGGAGAGGAAAGCGGAAUCACCGGUGUAGCGGUGAAAUGCGUAGAGAUCGGUAGGAACACCAGUGGCGAAGGCGGCUUUCUGGACUGAAACUGACGCUGAGGCGCGAAAGCGUGGGGAGCAAACAGGAUUAGAUACCCUGGUAGUCCACGCGGUAAACGAUGAAUGCUAGGUGUAGGAGGUAUCGACCCUCUUCUGUGCCGCAGUAAACACAAUAAGUAUUCCACCUGGGGAGUACGAUCGCAAGGUUGAAACUCAAAGGAAUUGACGGGGGCCCGCACAAGCGGUGGAUUAUGUGGUUUAAUUCGAAGCAACG